rnacentral:rRNA from 1 species
AUUGAACGCUGGCGGCAUGCCUUACACAUGCAAGUCGAACGGCAGCACGGGGGCAACCCUGGUGGCGAGUGGCGAACGGGUGAGUAACACAUCGGAACGUGUCCUGUUGUGGGGGAUAACCAGUCGAAAGACUGGCUAAUACCGCAUGAGCUGGAGACAGGAAAGCGGGGGACCUGAAAGGGCCUCGUGCGAUUGGAGCGGCCGAUGUCCGAUUAGCUAGUUGGUGGGGAAAGCCCACCAAGGCGACGAUCGGUAGCUGGUCUGAGAGGAUGAUCAGCCACACUGGGACUGAGACACGGCCCAGACUCCUACGGGAGGCAGCAGUGGGGAAUUUGGACAAUGGGGGCAACCCUGAUCCAGCCAUGCCGCGUGAGUGAAGAAGGCCUGG